rnacentral:lncRNA from 1 species
GUUGAGCUUACACUGGAGAAGAGGCUCAGCAGAUGAGCAAAAUCUUCAGUGAAAGAGACAAGUGGUUGAUCAAAGGCAUGCACCAUGGAAGAGAGACUCAUGACCCAGACUCUUGGAGCCAGGUUCCUGCAGAGCCAUCUGCCUUCGUUCCAAGGCUGGCUCAGCCAACAUGUGCCAAGCUCUCCAAGUCCUGCUGUAGCUUCAGAGACUACACAAACCAGAGUCCAGUCAGCUACUGAUCCAAGAAAGACCACAGAGAUCUGAGAGAGCCACCCAAGACUACGGAACCUACAGCACACUGUCACGAAGAGAACUGAUAUCUACCAAGCCUGACCAGAAUAGAAGAACUAUACUCCUGACCCACAGACACGCAUAGUGUAAGACAGUAGUUGUUUAAGCCAUUAAAAAAUAGGAGGCAAUAACCCCAAAUUCAUGUCUAUUCUCUAUUAACCUUAUAGUUUUCUCUGCUAGAUGAAAUCAACACAAACAAAUACAUACGACUGAGCAGAAAAGGCAAGGAUUUAGGAUGGACAUCAGUGGCCAUGCAGGAUCUGACCAGGCAGUAAUGUGUGGAGGUUUAAGUCUCUUAGCAUUGAGAACUCACUCACAUAUGAAUGUAGAGGGGGGACUGAAACCACAAUGUGGGAGGCAGCACUGAUAAGAUAGGAUGAUCUGGAUUCACUUCAGAAUACCAUAGUGAGAUACGAGGUAGGGAGUUUGUACAUGUGUGCAUGUAUAUAUUUGUCUACAGAGGGGAAUAACCUACAUAAAACCACAUGGCCUUUUUAAAGUGUAGAGUGAAUAAUCUCUGUUGACCCUGC